UCCGAUUUACACCGGCGGUCUCCUGUGAGUUCCCAUCUUUCAUGCUGGUAACACAGGACGAGGGUUGCGCUCGUUGGCGGACUUAACCGUACACCUCACGGCACGAGCUGACGACAGCCAUGCAACAAGUGUCUUCACGUCCCCUUGUGGGGGAGGGCCCUCUUUCAAGGGCUUGCGAUCGAUGUCAAGUCUGGGUAAGGUUCUUCGGUUAGUAUCGAAUUAAUCCACAUGCUCCACCGCUUGUGCGGGUCCCCGUCAAUUCCUUUGAGUUUUAACCUUGCGGUCGUAAUCCCCAGGCGGGGUGCUUAAUGCGUUAGCUACGGCACGGAGGGAGUGGAUAACCCCCCACACCUAGCACCCAUCGUUUACGGCGUGGACUAC
rnacentral:misc_RNA from 1 species